rnacentral:rRNA from 1 species
GAUGAACGCUAGCGGCAGGCUUAAUACAUGCAAGUCGAGGGGCAGCAGGACUGUAGCAAUACAGUUGCUGGCGACCGGCAAACGGGUGCGGAACACGUACGCAACCUUCCUUUAAGUGAGGGAUAGCCCAGGGAAACUUGGAUUAAUACCUCGUAAUAUUUGAGAGUGACAUCACUUUCUAAUUAUAGCUCCGGCGCUUAAAGAUGGGCGUGCGACUGAUUAGGUAGUUGGCGGGGUAACGGCCCACCAAGCCUUCGAUCAGUAACUGGUGUGAGAGCACGACCAGUCACACGGGCACUGAGACACGGGCCCGACUCCUACGGGAGGCAGCAGUAAGGAAUAUUGGUCAAUGGACGCAAGUCUGAACCAGCCAUGCCGCGUGGAGGAUGAAGGUCCUCUGGAUUGUAAACUUCUUUUAUCUGGGAAGAAACCCAUAUUUUCUAGUGUGGUUGACGGUACCAGAUGAAUAAGCACCGGCUAACUCCGUGCCAGCAGCCGCCGUAAUAC